GACGAACGCUGGCGGCGUGCUUAACACAUGCAAGUCGAACGAAGAGCGAUGGAAGCUUGCUUCUAUCAAUCUUAGUGGCGAACGGGUGAGUAACGCGUAAUCAACCUGCCCUUCAGAGGGGGACAACAGUUGGAAACGACUGCUAAUACCGCAUACGAUCCAAUCUCGGCAUCGGGACUGGAUGAAAGGUGGCCUCUAUUUAUAAGCUAUCACUGAAGGAGGGGAUUGCGUCUGAUUAGCUAGUUGGAGGGGUAACGGCCCACCAAGGCGAUGAUCAGUAGCCGGUCUGAGAGGAUGAACGGCCACAUUGGGACUGAGACACGGACCAGACUCCUACGGGAGGCAGCAGUGGGGAAUCUUCCGCAAUGGACGAAAGUCUGACGGAGCAACGCCGCGUGAGUGAUGACGGCCUUCGGGUUGUAAAGCUCUGUUAAUCGGGACGAAUGGUUCUUGUGCGAAUAGUGCGAGGAUUUGACGGUACCGGAAUAGAAAGCCACGGCUAACUACGUG
rnacentral:rRNA from 1 species